rfam:Methylotenera versatilis 301, complete genome.
AUAUAAAUUGGUUUUACUGUUAAAAUCGUCGGCUUUUUUAAAGCAAUAGAUUUUUAGGUAAACCUAAAUUUGGAGUAAAGUAUGGCGCGUAUUGCAGGGGUAAACAUCCCAAAU